rnacentral:rRNA from 1 species
UACGUAGGGGGCGAGCGUUGUCCGGAGUUACUGGGCGUAAAGGGCACGCAGGCGGUGCGGCGCGUUUCGCGUGACAGCGGAGGGCUUAACUCUCCGAGGAUGCGAAAGACGGCGGCACUUGAGGGCCAGAGAGGGACACGGAAUUCCGGGUGGAGUGGUGAAAUGCGUAGAGAUCCGGAGGAACACCGAAGGCGAAGGCAGUGUCCUGGCUGGUGACGGACGCUGAGGUGCGAAAGCUAGGGGAGCGAACGGG